rnacentral:misc_RNA from 1 species
GGUAUGAUUAACAUUGCCCCACAUUCUCCCUUCUUCAAAGAAAUUUUGAACUGUUGGGCAAAUAUCAUCUGCUACAAUACCCCAAUAUUGCUGGAAAAAUAAACCCAACAAGCCAUCUAUUCCAGGUGCCUUUGUAGGGUGAAUAGAAAAAAUGGCAUUCUGAAUCUCUGCCUACGUUAUUGGAGAUAUCAAUAAUUCAUUCAUUUGAUAUGUAACUCGGCAUUGCAAACCUGUUGUGAGAGAAUGAUGGCUAUCUGGUCCACUGGAUGUGUAAAUGUCUUCAAAG